UACGUAGGGUGCGAGCGUUAAUCGGAAUUACUGGGCGUAAAGUGUGCGCAGGCGGCCGCGCAAGUCGAGUGUGAAAGCCCCGGGCUCAACCUGGGAACCGCGCUUGAGACUGGAGAACUAGAGUUCGGGAGAGGAUGGUGGAAUUCCCAGUGUAGAGGUGAAAUUCGUAGAUAUUGGGAAGAACACCGAUGGCGAAGGCAGCCAUCUGGACCGACACUGACGCUGAGGCGCGAAAGCGUGGGGAGCAAACAGG
rnacentral:rRNA from 1 species